rnacentral:pre_miRNA from 1 species
UGUGGGUUUUCCAGUCUGUAUGGCCAUGUUCCAGAAGCAUACAGCCUGGAAAACUUGCAGC